rnacentral:rRNA from 1 species
CCUACGGGCGGCUGCAGUGGGGAAUAUUGGACAAUGGGGGGAACCCUGAUCCAGCCAUGCCGCGUGUGUGAAGAAGGCCCUCGGGUUGUAAAGCACUUUCAGUGAGGAAGAACGCCUGGUGGUUAAUACCCAUCAGGAAAGACAUCACUCACAGAAGAAGCACCGGCUAACUCCGUGCCAGCAGCCGCGGUAAUACGGAGGGUGCGAGCGUUAAUCGGAAUUACUGGGCGUAAAGCGCGCGUAGGUGGCUUGAUAAGCCGGUUGUGAAAGCCCCGGGCUCAACCUGGGAACGGCAUCCGGAACUGUCCAGCUAGAGUGCAGGAGAGGAAGGUAGAAUUCCCGGUGUAGCGGUGAAAUGCGUAGAGAUCGGGAGGAAUACCAGUGGCGAAGGCGGCCUUCUGGACUGACACUGACACUGAGGUGCGAAAGCGUGGGUAGCAAACAGGAUUAGAUACCCUAGUAGUC